AAUGGAGUCUCUGAUGGGGACAUGAUAUGAAUGUACUGACACAGGUUGAGAGCAGGACAUGAUGCAAAUCUUUAGAGCUGCCCCCAUUGGACCUCUAAGGUGUCUGAGACUCCGGGCCCCUUCAUCAGCCACGGUGGAUUCUACGGCUGGCUCGGGUCCACCGUGCCCCUCCUCCAAUCGGUCAUCGAGGGGGUCUUCUAAACCAUGGCAAAAACCCUGUACUCUCCUGGAGCACGAGUACAGGAUAUUACACGGCUGCUUCCUGCCGUUCUACAACAGCUGCCGGGGCUGACGCUGUCGUAGUCCAUGUGGGGUCAAACAACAUUAGGAGGGCUGAAAAUGUAUUUUAAAGGACUGAUUCUAGCUCUGAAAGAUUCAAAUUAUUUCAGUCUUUUUGGUUUUUGCUCUGACAUGCACUGUCAACUGUGGGACCUUAU